GGUGACACAGUGACUGAGGGAGGGGGUGACACAGUGACUGAGGGAGGGGGUGACUGAGGGAGGGGGUGACACAGUGACAGAGUUAGGGAGGGAGUGACUAGUGACAGAGAGAGGAAUGGGGUGACUAGUGACAGUCACCCCCUCCCUCCCUCUGUCACUAGUCACUCCCUCCCUCUGUCACUAGUCACUCCCUCCCUCUGUCACUAGUGAUUCCCUCCCUCUGUCACUAGUGAUUCCCUCCCUCUGUCACUAGUCACUCCCUCCCUCUGUCACUAGUCACUCCCUCCCUCUGUCACUAGUCACUCCCUCCCUCUGUCACUAGUGAUUCCCUCCCUCUGUCACU